AGCAGCCGCGGUAAUUCCAGCUCCAAUAGCGUAUAUUAAAGUUGUUGCAGUUAAAAAGCUCGUAGUUGAAUUUCGGAGUUUGUCGGUUGGUCGGGCUUCACUGUCCGCACUGGCCUGAUGGAUUCCUACCUUCUGAAUAACCAGCAUGCUAUUAAGUUAGUGCGUUGGGGAAGCAGAGCUAUUACCUUGAAAAAUUAGAGUGCUUAAAGCAGGCUUUUGCUUGAAUAGAUUAGCAUGGAAUAAUAAAAUAGGACGGCAUGGUUCUAUUUUGUUGGUUUCUAGGAUCACCGUAAUGAUUAAUAGGGAUAGUUGGGGCAUUAGUAUUCAAUUGUCAGAGGUGAAAUUCUUGGAUUUAUUGAAGACUAACUUUCUGCGAAAGCAUUUGCCAAGGAUAGUUUUCAUUAAUCAAGAACGAAAGUUAGGGGAUCGAAGACGAUCAGAUACC
rnacentral:rRNA from 1 species